rnacentral:rRNA from 1 species
CCUACGGGUGGCAGCAGUGAGGAAUAUUGGUCAAUGGGCGGAAGCCUGAACCAGCCAAGUAGCGUGCAGGAUGACGGCCCUACGGGUUGUAAACUGCUUUUAUACGGGAAUAACGCGCCUUACGUGUAGGGCUUUGCAUGUACCGUAUGAAUAAGGACCGACUAAUUCCGUCCAAGCAGCCGCGGUAAUCCGGAAGGUCCGGGCGUUAUCCGGAUUUAUUGGGUUUAAAUGGAGCGUAGGCCGCAUGUCCAGCGUGCUGUGAAAUGUCCGGGCUCAACCCGGGCCUUGCAGCGCGACUUGGCGUGCUUGAGUCCGCGGAAAGCAGGCGGAAUUCGUCGUGUAGCGGUGAAAUGCUUAGAUAUGACGAAGAACCCCGAUUGCGAAGGCAGCUUGCUGCAGCGGAACUGACGCUGAUGCUCGAAAGCGCGGGUAUCGAACAGGAUUAGAUACCCGUGUAGUC